UACGGAGGGUGCAAGCGUUAUCCGGAUUCACUGGGUUUAAAGGGUGCGUAGGCGGAUAGGUAAGUCCGUGGUGAAAUCCUGCAGCUUAACUGCAGAACUGCCAUGGAUACUAUCUAUCUUGAAUGUCGUGGAGGUUAGCGGAAUAUGUCAUGUAGCGGUGAAAUGCUUAGAGAUGACAUAGAACACCCAUUGCGAAGGCAGCUUACUGGGCUGUAACUGACGCUGAGGCACGAAAGUGUGGGGAUCAAACAGG
rnacentral:rRNA from 1 species